rnacentral:rRNA from 1 species
GUCCACACCGUAAACGAUGAUUACUAGGUGUGGGGGACUGACCCCCUCCGUGCCGGAGUUAACACAAUAAGUAAUCCACCUGGGGAGUACGGCCGCAAGGUUGAAACUCAAAGGAAUAGACGGGGACCCGCACAAGCGGUGGAGCAUGUGGUUUAAUUCGACGAUACACGAAGAACCUUACCUGGACUUGACAUAGUAAGAACUUUCUAGAGAUAGAUUGGUGUCUGCUUGCAGAAACUUAUAUACAGGUGCUGCACGGCUGUCGU